rnacentral:rRNA from 1 species
UACGAGGGGGGCGAGCGUUGUUCGGAAUUAUUGGGCGUAAAGGGUGCGUAGGCGGUUUGGUAAGUCUGAUGUGAAAUCUAUGGGCUCAACUCAUAGUCUGCAUCGGAAACUGCCGGGCUUGAGUGUGGGAGAGGUGAGUGGAAUUCCUGGUGUAGCGGUGAAAUGCGUAGAUAUCAGGAGGAACACCUGUGGCGAAAGCGGCUCACUGGACCAUAAACUGACGCUGAUGCACGAAAGCUAGGGGAGCAAACAGG